rnacentral:rRNA from 1 species
AGUCGUACGCUUCUUUUUCCACCGGAGCUUGCUCCACCGGAAAAAGAAGAGUGGCGAACGGGUGAGUAACACGUGGGUAACCUGCCCAUCAGAAGGGGAUAACACUUGGAAACAGGUGCUAAUACCGUAUAACAAUCGAAACCGCAUGGUUUUGAUUUGAAAGGCGCUUUCGGGUGUCGCUGAUGGAUGGACCCGCGGUGCAUUAGCUAGUUGGUGAGGUAACGGCUCACCAAGGCCACGAUGCAUAGCCGACCUGAGAGGGUGAUCGGCCACAUUGGGACUGAGACACGGCCCAAACUCCUACGGGAGGCAGCAGUAGGGAAUCUUCGGCAAUGGACGAAAGUCUGACCGAGCAACGCCGCGUGAGUGAAGAAGGUUUUCGGAUCGUAAAACUCUGUUGUUAGAGAAGAACAAGGAUGAGAGUAACUGUUCAUCCCUUGACGGUAUCUAACCAGAAAGCCACGGCUAACUACGUGCCAGCAGCCGCGGUAAUACGUAGGUGGCAAGCGUUGUCCGGAUUUAUUGGGCGUAAAGCGAGCGCAGGCGGUUUCUUAAGUCUGAUGUGAAAGCCCCCGGCUCAACCGGGGAGGGUCAUUGGAAACUGGGAGACUUGAGUGCAGAAGAGGAGAGUGGAAUUCCAUGUGUAGCGGUGAAAUGCGUAGAUAUAUGGAGGAACACCAGUGGCGAAGGCGGCUCUCUGGUCUGUAACUGACGCUGAGGCUCGAAAGCGUGGGGAGCAAACAGGAUUAGAUACCCUGGUAGUCCACGCCGUAAACGAUGAGUGCUAAGUGUUGGAGGGUUUCCGCCCUUCAGUGCUGCAGCUAACGCAUUAAGCACUCCGCCUGGGGAGUACGACCGCAAGGUUGAAACUCAAAGGAAUUGACGGGGGCCCGCACAAGCGGUGGAGCAUGUGGUUUAAUUCGAAGCAACGCGAAGAACCUUACCAGGUCUUGACAUCCUUUGACCACUCUAGAGAUAGAGCUUCCCCUUCGGGGGCAAAGUGACAGGUGGUGCAUGGUUGUCGUCAGCUCGUGUCGUGAGAUGUUGGGUUAAGUCCCGCAACGAGCGCAACCCUUAUUGUUAGUUGCCAUCAUUUAGUUGGGCACUCUAGCAAGACUGCCGGUGACAAACCGGAGGAAGGUGGGGAUGACGUCAAAUCAUCAUGCCCCUUAUGACCUGGGCUACACACGUGCUACAAUGGGAAGUACAACGAGUCGCGAAGUCGCGAGGCUAAGCUAAUCUCUUAAAGCUUCUCUCAGUUCGGAUUGUAGGCUGCAACUCGCCUACAUGAAGCCGGAAUCGCUAGUAAUCGCGGAUCAGCACGCCGCGGUGAAUACGUUCCCGGGCCUUGUACACACCGCCCGUCACACCACGAGAGUUUGUAACACCCGAAGUCGGUGAGGUAACCUU